GUCUACAGCCAUACCAUCCUGAAGGCACCUGGUCUCAUAUGAUCUCAAAAACUAAGCGGGGUCAGGCCUGGUUUUGACAGGCAUGGUGGCUU
rnacentral:rRNA from 1 species